GUCAUUGAUCUGAGUCCGCCUCGACAUGGACGAGUGGUGACCAUCACUAGACACAAUACAUUCAAAGGCGAUUACGCGCCAUUUUUAAACAUAUGCGAAGUCCAAAUAUGGGUGUGUAAGGUCGAUGGUGGGCAGUGACUGUCAAGCUCAGUGCAGUCAAACGUGUCAACACGCAGGUGAUGAUACCGGGGAAGAAAAUUACUGCGACUCAGACAAUGGUGAUUGUGUCAAAGGUUGCUCAGUCGGUCAUUACAACGUGUCUAACGACUGUCGAAACACCUGUGGUGAAGGAUGUCAGGACACAUGCAGCAGGACUGACGGGACAUGUCAGUGUCGGCCAGGAUGGCAGUCUCCUCUGUG